AUGGAAUGAUGUGAGGGGGUAUUUCUGAGGAAAAAAUAAUGCAGUGAGUCACUUCGCUUACAUUUCUUCUCUUGAAAUCCUCCCUGUCCUUUCUCAACCUGUCUCUGCCAUGGAUGUGACUCAUCCAAAAGAGCCUUGAACUCUGUUCUGCUGUAAAAGCAGAACAGUCAUAUUGACAAGAAAUUGACUCUGCUGUAGUUUACCUUAACAGCAUCUGGCUCAGACACUCCUAAGCUUGUCUGAGAUACCAUGUUCAUGUCAUACUUUCCAGGGUUAUUGAAAUCUAGAGGAGAGACUGGAUCCUAUCCUGUUGUGGUGUAGCAGCAUCAGUGCACUGUUCAACAGCAGCUGUUCAGAACGUGACUGGCCAUUGCAACACUUCACCAUAUGUGACACCAUCAGACUAUCACUACCUGGAUCUCAGCAAUAAUUCUCUCUCAAAUACCCAGAAAUGAAGGCUGUUCUUAACCCUUGCGGCUCUGGAAAACCCAUGAAAACAAGAAGUGAUGUAGACAGAGAAGGAGUUGGAUGAACUGUCAUUUGCAAGACUGUGAAAUCUCACAGGAUUUCGAGUGAAUAGCUUCUAGCCAAAGAUCUCCUAACAGCAGCUUGUUUGCUUGGAAAACUAUCUGAAAGCACCUGGCAAAGCCUAGAACUACACUAGUCUCCUUACGGCAGACUCUGCCUGGAGUCCCAGCAGCAGAUUAAAACCAAAAUUUCUGCUGUGGAAGUUCUUAGCUCUGCAGACAAAAAAAGAAAGGCCGUAGUCUAGGGAGAUAGCUGACAGCUGAAAGGCAUAAGUGGUUAUAGUCAUCACAGAUGGGGAAAAAAUCCUAAGCAGAGAGAAAAAAAGCUGUUCAGUUGUCCU
rnacentral:lncRNA from 1 species